AGUGAGGAAUAUUGGUCAAUGGACGCAAGUCUGAACCAGCCAAGUCGCGUGAAGGAUGAAGGUAUUAUGUAUUGUAAACUUCUUUUGUCAGGGAAUAAUGACCGCUACGUGUAGCGGAGAGGAAUGUACCUGACGAAUAAGCAUCGGCUAACUCCGUGCCAGCAGCCGCGGUAAUACGGAGGAUGCGAGCGUUAUCCGGAUUUAUUGGGUUUAAAGGGUGCGUAGGCGGUUUGUUAAGUCAGUGGUGAAAGUUUGCGGCUCAACCGUAAAAUUGCCAUUGAAACUGGCGAACUUGAGUACAGUAGAGGUAGGCGGAAUUCGUGGUGUAGCGGUGAAAUGCUUAGAUAUCACGAAGAACUCCGAUUGCGAAGGCAGCUUGCUGGACUGUAACUGACGCUGAGGCACGAAAGCGUGGGGAUCAAA
rnacentral:rRNA from 2 species